UGGGCCCCCCAUACCUCUAACAGGUGCUCAGCCACCUGCAAGGUAGGAGAAGGUAAAGCCCAAUGACUUUCUGCAGGCUCAGCGGCCUCCAGAGGUACCGUCCUACCUGCAGAUGCAGUCCUGCUGCUGGCAGUCUGAUUUUCAGAGUGGCAGAGGGCUCAGCAGCUCAACUCACACCCUGAGUGCUUUGGGGAAAGGACAGAUCUGUCUCAAGUAGCCAAGGCAGGACCAGCCUUGGAAUGUCAGGAGAAAUGUUGACUUUGGGCAGAGCCCUGCUGGGCAGCCACCCUCAGGCUGGAUGCUGCUCUGGAGCUGGUGAUCACCACACGUGGCCAGAACUUCAGUGACCCCUCUCUUACUACUGCAGAUAUAUCUCAGUAUAUAGAGAAGAGCAGGUACUGGGAUGAGGCAAAUUUCUCCAGCAUCAGCACUGUCCAUGGCUUAUCUCCCAC